rnacentral:lncRNA from 1 species
AUGGCUUUCCUUCUGAUGCCUCAGCCAAUUCCUCUCUCCUUCUUGAAUUCCAGGACGAAAACAGCAACCAGAGUUCCGUGUCUGACGUCUAUCAGCUUAAGGUGGACAGCAGCACCAACUCAAGCCCCAGCCCCCAGCAGAGUGAGUCCCUGAGCCCAGCACACACCUCCGACUUCCGCACGGAUGACUCCCAGCCCCCAACGCUGGGCCAGGAGAUCCUGGAGGGUCGUUGAGGAAGAGGAAGACUCAGGUGCCCCGCCCCUGAAGCGCUUCUGUGUGGACCAACCCACAGUGCCGCAGACGGCGUCAGAAAGCUAGCACCAUCCCGGCCCUCCGCCUCCUGGCCCUGCCUCUAUUUAUUGCAUUCUGGUUCUGGCCGCGCCGCGUUGCUGGGGUAAGGGCAAGCACUGGGGUCAAGAGCCUGCACACAUGAGCCUUCCGGGCUGGAAGGCUGGCG